CUCGCAACCGUUCGCGGCUAGCCUUAUCCUCUCCACCGACGGAAGCGUCUCCAUGGCUCUCGUAGCUCCUCUUCCUCCCUUCCAUUUUCGAGGCCACUAUGUCAUACCACUGUUGCCCCUAAUCGGAGAGAUGGAGAUCAUCAUCGGUGCCCAGGGCAUCCACAUGUUGGCCUCCGGCGGCGCCGCGGACAAGGUCCUGCUCACCUCCCGCUGCCCGCAGGAGCUUCUUCUUCGCUGAAACCCUAGGGGGAGCAACAUCGCCUGAUCUGCAGCGCCGCCGCCGGAGCGCGCUGGCCCAGCACACCCGUUGGUCUUUGCACCCGCCUCCGGUCGGAGGCAAACUAUUACAGCCAACAAGCAAUGGAGGCAAGGUGACCACCACGAAGCAAGGGACGCUUCCCACAUGGAUGACGAAUUGAGGAGACACUUCUCAGGUAAGCCCCCCUCUCUCUCUGUCUCCUCCCUCUCUUUGAAUAAAAUCUCACUGAUGGUGCAGUUUUCCAGUCUAGUCUACCAAAUUAGUUUGGGAACUACCUGCAGAUCUACUGUGUAUAGAUAACAGUAUGCUCUACUGAGUGGAUGCAUUGACAAGGUUAUUUUAAGAGAUUUGACCUAGAAGUUGUUAAUUUUGCCUAGGUUUCUUUAAUCAAUUCCAUGUCAGUGUUAACAGUGUACCAUUGUUCAACAAAAACUUAUUAGGAAAUGCCAUAGGGUUACGGAAUGGUGUUCUGAAAUUAAAUGGAAAUUUUGUUUCAGUCUCUGUGAAGUACAAAUGCCUCUCCUGUUCAAUGUAUUUUCUUUUCAUUUACGGUUUCUUUGCCAUGGCUCAGUUUAUUUAAGCCUGAAUUGCCUACAACGAUUGAUACACCUUGGCUCUGCAAAAUUUCUAUUGCUUGGAAGGUCAAAAAUUCAUCAUAGAUUAGCAAUUCAGCCGUUAUGAUUAGUGUUCUAUGUGUGGAUUAUGUUUCAGUCUACAUUGUGAGACUGAUGAUUUUUAGUUAAGGGCUGUGUCAUGAGUGCAAGUAUGGAAUCUGUCACAAAUAAAAGAUGCCCAAAUCUUAAUAUUUUCCUUCAGUUUUUUUCAUAGUUAAGGGUUGUGGAUCCUGAACAUAGCAUUAUUUAACUGUUUUUCCCUUCAGUUUAUUUCUCUGAAACAGAUGUUUUAGCCUAGUUAUAGUGUUAUCUAUGCACCAUGGUUUCUGCUCAUUUAGUGAUCCUUUUUUUAAUAUUAGAUCAGAUCUUUCCCACCAUGGUCUGAAACAAAGUUGGCAUAGCAUCCACCUUGUAUUGUUCUAGAUUAUUUCAGUUCCUAUCACAUGUGUGUCAGGUUUGGCCCCCAAUAAUGCAGAUCUCUGGUUUUCCUAGUUGUGCAUCAUUUGCUUUCUUAAUUAUUAAUUGUUUUAUGAGGUUUGCUAAUACAUAAACAAGGUGUCUAGUUGCUAGCCAUCCCCUUUUAUCUCUUUUCCUUCUCUUUAUCCUUAUUGUUUUAGUAGCUAUGGAUAUUGCCUUUUUGAUUUACAUUAUUCUUGUCGUGAUCUAAUUUCACUACUGGCUUCAGAUAUAUGCUGAUCUAGGUUAGCCUGCAGCGUUCCCAGCAGGUAGCCUGCAGGUGACCACGAUGCUGGAUGUAACAUUCAAAUCCUAAAGCCAUGCAUUUCAGCCAUCUAUGAUGAAAUUCGGAAAACAAUGUUCAGUCUGAGCAAUGUUCCACGUUCCAGGGCUGUAUUUGGUAAAGCAAAAGAUAUUUUAACAAUUACCAAGCUUUUUCAUUCGUGCUUCUGUACAAGCAAUUCCAGUUCUGUUCAUGUAAUUAUCUUUACUGAGAAUAUGGCUUUAUGUUACUCCUGUAUCGAUGGUAUACUUUGUGGAUGUUUGAUGUUUUAUUUAAUCUGUUGCGAUGAUCAUAUCUUUUAUCACCAGAUAUUGCCCAAGUAAUUGUUUUUAUGGUCCUCUACUGUAAUUGUAGUAAAUUUCAAGGCACGUGCUCAAAUGUUUUUAAAACUUUAUAAGUUAAAUGAUUUUAGCUUGUUUGGCAUAUAUAAAUUUAUUGCUGCUGCAGUUCUGGUGCUUAAAAAAAUCAGUGUUUCUGCAGUUUCAGUACUUGCCUUUUAAUCGGUGUGCUGUGUUUUCAUGUUAUAUUUCAUUCGGAAAACAACUACACAACUGAUUUUGAGGAGAGACUUGGGCAGCUCAUUCAGAAGUUCAAAAACAAGGUGUUAAUCCCAAGCUAUCAAGACUUGGAAACUUUCAGAUAAGCAACCGUAACCUGUUUGCUGCCCUGUAUGGAGGCUUAUAAAGACGCAUGAUCAGGGUUUUAGGAGAUCAAUCAUGAAGAGAAAACUGAUGACAUUUCAGUGUAUACCAAGUAUUAUUGGUGACUCUAUCCCAAUGAAGGAAAUUGUUUUCAUAACAUAUGUAAUUGUUGAUGGUUGGACUGGAAUAGCUGGUGAUAUUGAGCCGGGACAUGGAUUAGGAGCAACACGCCUGGUAACGAGGCAAGAUUUUAUUUUCUCUAUGUAUGGUUCAGCAAUUUUUGAACAGCUAGAAACUAAAACUUUUUCACUUUCCAUAUAUUAUAUAAGAGCUGACACGUAUACACAGUAGGAUUCAAGAUAUGGAAAGUGGCAAAUUAAUCAUUCAUUAUGGACAAGUACGUGGUGCAUUGGAUCUUAAUUUUCACUAUUUAGUUUUGUUUGCUAUUUUUAUGAAUAUUUUAGGAACUAAGUUUUAACUUCGGGAUGUUACAGUUGAUUGGAGAUGUGUCUUGGAUAUGGAGAAAUUCCAGCAACCAAAGGUAUUCACUCAUGCUCCUGGCACCAAGAAGACCUAGCUUCCAACACCUAUUGAACUAUUAGUUUGGUGACUAAGGUCACUUUGAGAUUGAGAUGUGAGAUUUCAUUUGUUUAUUUUAUCUGAGAUGACUUUAUGACUAAGGUCACUUGUUGAACUAUAGUUUGGUGUUUGUAACGAAUGUAAUAAAUAUUUUGAUGAAUGACUUGGGAACCUGUUGAUUUGGCCAUGAAUGCAAUAUAUUAUUGGACCUGCAUAUGUUAA